rnacentral:rRNA from 1 species
UACGUAGGGGGCAAGCGUUGUCCGGAUUUAUUGGGCGUAAAGAGCUCGUAGGCGGUCUGUCGCGUCGGAUGUGAAAACCCCAGGGCUUAACCCUGGGCCUGCAUUCGAUACGGGCAGACUAGAGUUCGGUAGGGGAGACUGGAAUUCCUGGUGUAGCGGUGAAAUGCGCAGAGUAUCAGGAGGAACACCGGUGGCGAAGGCGGGUCUCUAGGCCGACACUGACGCUGAGGAGCGAAGCGUGGGGGAGCGAACGG